GGGGGGAUAUUGCACAAUGGGCGAAAGCCUGAUGCAGCAACGCCGCGUGAGGGAAGACGGUCUUCGGAUUGUAAACCUUUAGCUUUGGGGAAGAAACAAAUGACGGUACCCAAAGUGGCAGCCACGGCUAACUACGUGCCAGCAGCCGCGGUAAUACGUAGGUGGCAAGCGUUGUCCGGAAUUACUGGGUGUAAAGGGUGCGCAGGCGGGGAGACAAGUCAGCUGUGAAAACUAGGGGCUUAACCCAUAGAUUGCAGUGGAAACUGUUUGUCUUGAGUGGGGUAGAGGUAGGCGGAAUUCCGAGUGUAGCGGUGAAAUGCGUAGAUAUUCGGAGGAACACCAGUGGCGAAGGCGGCCUACUGGGCUCUAACUGACGCUGAGGCUCGAAAGUGUGGGGAGCAAACA
rnacentral:rRNA from 1 species